rnacentral:rRNA from 1 species
UAGGGAAUCUUCCACAAUGGACGAAAGUCUGAUGGAGCAACGCCGCGUGAGUGAAGAAGGUUUUCGGAUCGUAAAACUCUGUUGUCAGAGAAGAACGUGUGCGAGAGUAACUGCUCGUGCAGUGACGGUAUCUGGCCAGAAAGCCACGGCUAACUACGUGCCAGCAGCCGCGGUAAUACGUAGGUGGCAAGCGUUGUCCGGAUUUAUUGGGCGUAAAGGGAACGCAGGCGGUCUUUUAAGUCUGAUGUGAAAGCCUUCGGCUUAACCGAAGUCGUGCAUUGGAAACUGGGAGACUUGAGUGCAGAAGAGGAGAGUGGAACUCCAUGUGUAGCGGUGAAAUGCGUAGAUAUAUGGAAGAACACCAGUGGCGAAAGCGGCUCUCUGGUCUGUAACUGACGCUGAGGUUCGAAAGCGUGGGUAGCAAACAGG